UACCAGCACCCCGAGUGGUCGGGACGUUUAUUGGGCCUAAAGCAUCCGUAGCCGGUUCUACAAGUCUUCCGUUAAAUCCACCUGCUUAACAGAUGGGCUGCGGAAGAUACUAUAGGGCUAGGAGGCGGGGGAGGCAAGCGGUACUCAGUGGGUAGGGGUAAAAUCCUCUGAUCCAUUGAAGACCACCAGUGGCGAAGGCGGCUUGCCAGAACGCGCUCGACGGUGAGGGAUGAAAGCUGGGGGAGCAAACCGG
rnacentral:rRNA from 1 species